UGGUGCCUCAGGGUGGAGGACAGCUGUGGAUCUUUGGAGGGGAGUUUGCUUCUCCCGACGGAGAGCAGUUCUACCACUACAAGGAUCUCUGGGUGCUGCACUUGGCCACCAAGACCUGGGAGCAAGUAAGAUCAACAGGAGGCCCUUCAGGUCGGAGUGGACAUCGGAUGGUAGCCUGGAAGAGACAGUUAAUCCUUUUUGGUGGCUUCCAUGAGAGUACAAGAGAUUACAUCUACUACAAUGAUGUGUAUGCCUUUAACCUGGACACGUUCGCUUGGAGCAGACUGUCCCCAUCAGGGGCUGGGCCCGCACCUCGGUCAGGCUGCCAGAUGUCCAUCACCCCCCAGGGCAGCAUUGUCAUCUAUGGGGGCUACUCG